CAGUAGCCGCGGUAAUACAGAGGGUGCGAGCGUUAAUCGGAUUUACUGGGCGUUAAGCGUGCGUAGGCGGCUUUUUAAGUCGGAUGUGAAAUCCCUGAGCUUAACUUAGGAAUUGCAUUCGAUACUGGGAAGCUAGAGUAUGGGAGAGGAUGGUAGAAUUCCAGGUGUAGCGGUGAAAUGCGUAGAGAUCUGGAGGAAUACCGAUGGCGAAGGCAGCCAUCUGGCCUAAUACUGACGCUGAGGUACGAAAGCAUGGGGAGCAAACAGGAUUAGAUACCCCGGUAGUCCCUGUCUCUUAUAA
rnacentral:rRNA from 1 species